GCAAAAAAUAAAAUAUAUAUAUACAUUCAAAUAAACAAAUAAAUCUUUCUUCAAUUAAUCUUCAACUUGAACUUCAAGUUUGAAACCUGUCAAAGUAAUCAAAUAACUACACAAGUAAUCACAGUUAUUAGUCAAGGUGAGACAAUAUGCAAUUAUUUAAUGACGAAUUCUACAUAUAAAAAAACAGACAAUAGGUUACACAAAUAUGUGAAUGUGAAGACAGUAUAAAUGUUAAGAAUACUAACCGGUUAAGCAAAACAAAUUGAUUCAACUUUUAAAGUAGCAAAAUAGCGAAGAAGAACACUUGAAUAUUUACCGGAAUAUUAAUGUGUUGUUAAAGUAGCAAGAGAGCAAUGAGAGAAGGGAGAGUGAUGAGAUAAUUUGUGAUUGAAAGUGAAUGAGUGUGUGAAUUGAUGAGUUUUUUGUAUGUAUGAGCAAUGAGAGAAUGAGAAAGUUUAAGAAUAAUGUAGCAUUUGUGGUAAGAAAGUAAGAAUGAGUUAGAGAAUGUGAGUUCUUUUCAAAGAUGUCAAUGUGUAUGAAAGGAGGGGAGGGAGUCCUAUUUAUAUAGCAAAUAAGGGGGAGCACAAUAAUGGAAAUAAAAUAAAUCAAGGAGUUAAUUAUAAUACUAUUUCCUUAUUUUCAAGGAGAGCCAAAAUCAGAAAAUUAUAAGAAUAUUUCAUCACCAAAAAUAAAAUAAGUACAAAUAAUCUUUUACCUUGAAUAAGGAAGAGACAAAAUCAAAUUUUAUAUUAAAAAUCUAUUACCAAAUAUAAACAUAUAAGAAUAAAAUAUUUCCCUUAAAUAAAGAAGAGUCAAAUAUAAUUUUACCAAAAAUAAACAAGUAAGAAAUCAAUAAAUUUAUACAUAAUAAAAAAAGAUCAAUUAACUUAUUAUUAUUUUAUUUUUUAUUUUUUUUAAAUUAUUAUUAUUACUUUACCAAAUAUAUGAGCAACUAAAUUUGACAAGGAAAUAAUUUAAGGUCAAACAUUUACCUAAUAAUAAAUUACCAUAAAUAAAUAUGUAAGAAUCAAUCUAGACAAACAUUAAAGGAAAAAGAAAUCAACUCUUAUUUCUCAUUUUAAGAGAGCUAACUCAAUAACAAAUAUUUUCAGAAUGAGUAAAUAUUUUUCCAAAAAUAAACAAGUGAGAAACUUUUUCCUUAUUUUUUCAUCUUAUCACAUGAGCAAAGAUUUAUCCAUCAAAUUAAGCAUGUUCUAACAUGUAGGAACAAUCAAUCAUAAUAAAAUAACAUACUUACAAUUAUUAUCAUUCAUGAAAUCAAAUAUACUCAAAAAAAAUAAUUUUAUAAUGAUAUUGACCCAUUAUCAAAUAAUCUACCUUCAUAAGCAAGCUAAAUUCACUAAUUAACAUUUAAGGAGGGACAAUAUGCAAGAUUCUCAACCAACUUAAUGAAUUUGAGCACUAGAAAAUUAACACAAAUACAAAAAUCAAAUAAUUAUCAAUCCCAAGAGAUUAACUAUACAGAUCAAUGCAUAUUUUAAACACCAAAGUUAUAAUAAGCAUAUUAGAAUAAAAGAAAAAUAUGAUGAAACCCCAAACGGAGAGAAUUGGAUAGACAAAGUAGUAAUGGAUAAAAGAAAUACCAAAGAUGGAUCUGAAUAGAUUCAUCCAAAUUUUGCCUUCGCCGGAGGUCGAUCAUGCUGAAAAUCGGAGAAAAGAGGGGGAGGGUCGAGGUCGCCUGGCUGCUCGCUGAGGCUGUCUUGUGGCUGCUGGAACGAUGGGAGAGAGGGGCACUGCCAGUGGCUGCUGGCUGGUGGUUCCGCGCUUGCUGCUGCUGGUCGGAAAGGCUGCCUGUCGUUGUUUGAUGCAGCUGCUGGUAAAUUGCGAAAAAAUAGAAGAGAAAGGAGAAGAGGAAAGGGCGAUAAGAGACGGGAGGGGAGAGAGGAGAAGAGGAGAGAAAGGGGCGGCUGCUACCACUCGGAGGUGGCGAUUCCCACCGGAAAGAAUGGAAGGAGAGAGAGGCGGCUGGAGGUAUGGGUGAGGGAGGAGAAAAAAUGAGAAGAAGAUGGAGGAGAGGAGAGGGAAGACGACAAGAGAGAGGGGCGUCGCCGCCUCGCUUGGGGUUGAUGAUUUCCACCGGAAAGAAUGGAGAGAGAGAGGUGGGCCGGCUGGAGAGAGCAGGAUAGGUCUUUUUUUUUUGGUUUGAUCUUUUAGGGUAUUAGACUUUAGGAAGAAUAGGAGAUUAAAUCUUGACCGUAGAAUUUGAUAAGAGAUAAAGGGCUAGGAUUCGAUUUUGAAUUUAUUUUAAGAUGGACGGAUGAGAUUAAAAGAUGAUGUUUUGAAAUUAGAUUGACAAAGAUAUAGAAUGGUUAAAAUUGCAAUUAAAGUGGCUAGAAUUGAAACGAAAGAGUGGCUAUGAUUGUAAUAAAAUUUAAUUGAAGUGGCUAGAAUUGAAAGAAAUUAUGAUAGAAUAGGCUAGAAUUUAAAAUUUAAGGAAAGUGUAGGAAUUACUAUUUAAUUAAAAUACUACAUAUAUUAAUAUAUUUUUAUAUAAUUGAAAAAAUCAUUUAAACUUUAAAAUAUUUGGAAUUCAUAAGUAAUUUUAAAAUAUUUUAAUAAUAUUUACGAUAAUUUUAUAGAGUAAAACAUACUAAAAUAUAUAAUUUUCAAGCAAAGUCGAUUAAAAAUUCUAAAAUUUAAAAUACGUAUUUAAUCGAAUAGUAUUCUUAAAAAUGGUCAAAGGUCGGUCAAAAUCGGGUGUCAACAGCUGCCCCUUGGUUGAUUGAGAAUGAAGAAUGAAUUGUCUGGCAACCAACGUUCACUUAGUAGCUGAUUUUGUCCGACCGAUGAGAGAUGUCAAUUGGAUCAAUUGAAACGAUAUAGAGUUGAAAAGGGUACGACCGAGACUUUGGUAUUAAGCCGCCUACAUAUCUCUGGUUAUACGAGAAUCAGGUCGUGUGUAGUUCUAGAUUUAAGAGCAAAUGAAACUCUUAAAAAUUGAAAGAGCGCUAAGAUAUUUGAAAGGCACGAUAUCGGCUUGAAUAGAUAAGAAUAGAGUAGCGAGAAGAGAGAGAUUGAGAGGCUAGAAGAGCGUGACAGAUAAGCAGGAAGAGCAUGAUAGAGUGAGGUUAUCAACAUUUGAGCACGGUUCAGAGUAUGAGUAGCAAAGAAUUGAUAGGGUCUUUGUUGCAAUGAUAGCAAAAUAAUUGUAAUCAAGGGGCGAUCGAUUAUAUCUGCAAAUUCUAGAUAAAGUGUUAGCUUAUGAAUAGAUAAAGUAUGACGAAUAAUGAUAAAAAUGAGUUCUAAAUAAAUGACAAGAGGUGAUAAGGAGCGUAUCUGCUUUGAGACGUAGUGCAAGCCUUGAUGGUCUUUGACUUCUUUAAGGAUUGAAAACCAUCUCUGAAGAAUAACGUCAAACUCCAAAAUAUUUGAUUGUAUAAACAUAUAAUAAUAUAAGCAAAAUGUCUGGUUGCAAGGAGAGUCUAAACGUCUUUUAAAUGCGGACGAGCCUAAACAUACUAUUUUAAGGCGGAAAAGCCUAGACAUCCUAUUAUAAGGCGGAAGAGCCUAAAUGUUGUAUUGUAAGGCAGACGAGCCUAAACAUCGUAUUGUAAGGCAGAUGAGCCUAAAUAUCCUAUUGUAAGGCGGAAGAGCCUAAAUAUCCUAUUGUAAGGCGGAAGAGCCUAAAUGUCAUAUUGUAAGGUAGACGAGCCUAAAUGUCGUAUUGUAAGGCAGACGAGCCUAAAUGUCGUAUUGUAAGGCAGACGAGCCUAAACAUCCUAUUGUAAGGCGGUAGAGACUAAAUAUCGUAUUAUAACAAGGUGGGAGAGCUUAAAUAUAUAUUCAGUCAGUCGCAGAAAAAAAUUUGAUAAUAGCCUCUUCAAAAAAUAAUCCGAGAAUAGUAUGACUUACAUAGUAGCUCCUAAAUAUGACAGUACACUCAUAUAUAAUUUAUUCCUGCAUCCAGAGAAAAUUCGUAAAUUCAAAAGGCGAGAGAUGGCCAUACCUGUGCUUGUUUUGCCUUUAGAGUUGCAAUCCCUUGUGAUGAAAUUUUUGAGGAUUUCUCAAAAAUUUCUGCCCCAGUUUAGAGUAUAAGAUAUAUACUCACUUUGUUAAAUAUCUCUCUAAAAUUUUUUGAGGUUUCCUCAAAAAUUCUGCCCCAUUUUAUUAGUGGGGGAAUUUUAAAUCCUGCUUCACUCAAAAAAAAUUGUAAGUUCCAAAAAAAAUGAUUGUCUUGUAUUUGGACAUUAAGGCUCGACUUCAAAUUCAAGUGUCAAUUAUGUUCAUGGAUUGUCAAUUAGUCUAGAUUUGAAUUUGUAAAGAAGUGUUUUGAAUGACCAUGGGAAAGAAAAAAAUUUAUUUGAUAGAGACCGGACCCAUCAAGGGUUGCCUACGUAUCCAAAAAGGAAAUCAGGUCAAACGUAGUUCAGAAUUACAAGGAAAAAUGAAAGGAAUGAGGAAAGCUUUGGGCAUAAGGUCGGAGAACAAUAAAGCCAACUUUGUUCAUAAGAGUCUUGUCCAUAUCAAUUUCUCUGAUGUGAUUUACGCUUUCUUGUCAAGUGCCUAACGUACAUCUUUGUAGGAUCUCCUUGAACGAUGAAUGUAUUCGCCAUAAAAGGAUUGCAAUUGUUGAUUUGUUGUCCUUGUUGCACUAUAAUUUUUCCUUUUUUAAUCAUAUUCUGAAUCUUAUUUCUCAAUGCUGCACAUUCUUCACUGUCAUGACCUUGAAUGUUUGAAUGAUAGGCACAAUUUUUGGAUAGAUCAAAGUUUGACGUAGAGUGCUUGGGAAUCUAUCCAUUUAUUGGUCUUAGAAGUCCUUUAGCGCAUAAUCUCUGGAAAAUGUCGGUCAAAGUUUCCCUUAAGGGAGUGAAGACACGAGGUUUCCUCACCUUAUGUUGAGAUACCUGAGGGUUGGAAGGCUCAAGACUAGCAUGAAUUUGCUCAAUAUUCUGAUUUCUUUGUUUCGGAGGUAUAUAGGUAGAUGCAUCUUCGUUCCUUUCAUCUAAUGAUUCUUUCAGGACUUGAAAAGAUUUUUGUGUAUCAGCAAUUCUUCCAGACUGAAUGCCAUAUUCUAACUCUUUUCCAAUUCGAAUUAGACUAUCGAAACUUUGAAUACCAGCAAAGAAUAGGGUUUUGUAGUAUAUACCCUCAAGUGAUCUGAUGAGAGUUUGGACCAACUCCUCUUCAUGCGUUAAGUGACGUAUCUUGGAGGCUUCCAUUCUCCAUCGUAUGGCAUAUUCCUCAAAAGAUUCAUGACUUAGUUUCAUCAAUUUGAUCAAAUUUAACAUUGUAGGGUCAACCUUCUUAUUAAACUUGUAUUGUUCCACAAAGUCUCGAGCCAUGUCUUCCCAUGCGAGCCAUUUGUAAAAGUCUUGUUUGACGUACCAAGUGAAAGCUAUUCCUGAUAAGCUUUGAAUAAAUAACCUCAUUAGGAGAGGUUCAUUGUUUUCUAAGCCAACUAGCCUGCUGCAAAAAUCUUUGAGAUGUGCCAUUGGAUCCCCACGUUCGUCGAACAUGUUGAAUUUUGGAAUUUUAAAUCCCGACGGUAAUUCAACUCCUGGGUGUAGACAUAAAUUUUUAUAUCUUAGGUCAUGAGUAGGUAUUGAAUGUAGUCCUCCAUUCACCCUCUUCUCCAAGUCAUGCAUUUUUCGUUGCAGUGCAUCUAGCUUACAUCUCUCUAUUUUGUCAUCUAUUCCCUCAUAUCCUGAAGCAUCAAAAUUGAGGUGUAUUGGAGACCUUUGUUGAGAGAGGGUGUGAGUAUGAAUAGGAUGAGGAGAGAUGGUCCAAAAGGUACUUUGUUUUGGACGAGAAGAUGAGUGAUUUUUUCGAAGGUUGAACAUAUUUGUCAUAUUGCAGAAUCUUAGUCGAGCCAAUUAUCCAAAUACUAGACAACCUUUAAUCAAUGAAAUAAAUCAAACACAAAACUGAGUUAUUAUAUAGUGAGCCAAAAUUAUAAUUUCAAAUGAAUGACACAAUAAGCUCAAAGUGGGACAAUUAUAACAGUUAAUAGAAUAAGGUCACAUAAUUGAUUCAAGUUAUACUUUGACAAUUUGAAGUUUUAGAGUCAAAGAAAGAUUUUAACUCCAUUUUGACAUAAUGACUUGAUUUAAAAUAUGAUGAUCAAAUUGACACAUAAAUAUGCAAUUUGUCUAAAGGGUGUUGGGGCCCUUUAGACAAUAGAGUGGCUACUAAUUAUAUGGAUUGACGCCAAGGGUCAAACAACCUAGGGUUUAUGCAGCAUGUAUGACCUAACAAGGACUUCUAAGAGUUGUCUCGACGCGGACUUGAAAGGAUUCUAUGCGAGAGGCUCGUGGUUUCGCGGUAGUAAAACUAUCCGUUACGUCCACGCAUAUGUCGACUCUCUAUAAUGGGUAUUUGAAUAGAAUUGGUGUAGUUGUGAGAGGUGCAAAGGCACAACAUCACGAAAAAAGGGGGAGAGUCCCAAUUGGGAGAGAUAUGAGCAGAAUGCCAGUUAUCAAAACAAUAAAUACUUAGCAUUUAAAUUGGAAAAUUGUACAUAUAAGCAUUUUAAAAAACAGUAAAUAAAUAAGUAAGCAUAAAUAAAUAAAGGUGUUAAAAAAUCACGCAAAUAAGAAAAGAAGGUAUGGGAUUAAAUGUAGUGAACAAAUAAGGGAAACGGGGGAAUGUGAAACAUGGUAAUAAACAAAUAAGAAGGGAGGAAAAGGGGUGAAACAUUAAACAAGACAACAAAAUGAUAACUAAAUAUGAUGAACACCAAGCAAAUAAUGAAAUAAAUAAUAUAAAGUAAACCCCACAUAAAUAAACAUGAAACACGUAAUGGUAAGAACCUAAUAUCCCCAGCGGAGUCGUCAUUCUGUCGCGCCCCAUUUUUCGCAGAAAACGGGUUUUGUGCGCGACCUAACAACUCUUUUGGGAUUUUCGAGUUUGGAGUCGCCACCUAAUGAAUUAAGGCGCGUUAGGGCACCUAUAUAACCUAAAUAAGUCUAACUAAGGUCAACGAGCCAGAGAUUAGGGUGAGGGUUCAAAUUACCUCGAGGGGAAGGUGUUAGGCAUCCCUCGAGGUCCACAAGCAUGGGUCCCGGCCUAUCUCAUGCAAUCUAUGUGGGGGUUACAAGUAGCAAUCAAGGUCACUUCAUUAUUAUUUAUUAAUAUGCUUGCUAAGUGAUAACAAGUAUAAAGCAAUUAAGGCUAUUUUGUUAAUUUAAACAUGUGAGGCUAGAUGACAGCAAUAAUAAGCAAUCAAGUUUAUUUUAUAUUUUUUUUAAUUUAUUUUAACAUACGAGGCUAUGUUAUAGACAAAAUUGGCAAAUAUUAAGCAAUUAAUAUGUGGAAGUAAAGUUUGAAAAAUGUAGCAAGUUUUGAAUAUGAAAUUUUUAUUUUUUAAAAAAAUGUUUGUUUCUUUAUAGGGAUGAUGUCAUGAUAUUGUUGAUCGUGCUUCUCCACCAUAGAAACAAUUUUGAUCUGAGGUCGGUCUAAAAAAUAGUUUAUGUUUUUGAAAAAAAAUGAUUUAAAAGAUUUAGUUUACAUGUAGGCACAUAAAUAUUUACACAUAAAUGCACAUAAUUCUUUUUGAAAUUCAUGGGUAGGUGGUACUUCCGAGGAUGCGUCGGGUUUAAAAAUUGAAACUAGACCUCGUAGUUCCUUUGACUUUCCCACUAACGAUAGGUUAGGAGAUAGUGUUUAUAAUUUAUUUUUAAAAUAAACAAUGUCAAAAUCAAUCCAAAGUUUUAAAGGAAGAUUGAAUAAUGACUUUUUAAAAAAAUUAUGUUACAAGGUUUUGAUAUGAAAUAUUUUUAAAGCCAAGUUAAAUGCAUGAAAUGAUUCUAAAUUAGUAUUAUUAAAAAAAUAUUGCAUCAUGAAUGCGGAAAACAAAUAAGAUUACUAGUUAAAUAAUAUUAACUAAUUUUAGGGGGGGGGGGGCUCAAUAUGCACAAACAAAUUUUAUUUUUUAUGGAUAUGCUGAAAGUUUAUUUACAACCCUAUAGACAUGAUUUCUAGGUGUUAAAAAAAAAAGAAACAUAUAGCAUGAUUUUGUAAAUGAUAUGAACAAUUUAAUACUUAGGCAUAGUUUCUACGUGAUAAGACAAAUGAAAAUUUAUAAUAUACUUUUAACAUAUAACAACCUACUAGAUUAUUAGGAUUUGAUUUUAACAUUUAAAAAAUUAAUGGAAUCUAGUUAUUAUUUUUUUAAGACUUAUUAACAAAAGCGUCAAGCAAAUUGAAAAUUGAUUAAAUUAUAACACCUACAAAUAUCAAAUCUAGGUGGUUAAAGACAAACCUAGGCAUGAUUUCUAAAAAAAUUAUAAUGAACAAAUAAGCACAUAAAUCCCCCUCCCCUAGACGACCCCCCAAAUAAAUUUAUAUAUAUGAUCUUUUAGAGUUACAAUUGUUACAACAUUCGAAUAAAUAAAAUAGGCAGAAAAUAAAAUAUAUAUAUACAUUCAAAUAAAUAAAUAAAUCUUUCUUCAAUUAAUCUUCAACUUGAACUUCAAGUUUGAAACCUGUCAAAGUAAUCAAAUAACUACACAAGUAAUCACACUUAUUAGUCAAGGUAAGACAAUAUUCAAUUAUUUAAUGACGAAUUCUACAUAUAAAAAAAGGACAAUAGCUUACACAAAUAUGUGAAUGUGAAGACAGUAUAAAUACUAAGAAUACUAACCGGUUAAGCAAAACAAAUUGAUUCAACUUUUAAAGUAGCAAAAUAGCGAAGAAGAACACUUGAAUAUUUACCGGAAUAUUAAUGUGUUGUUAAAGUAGCAAGAGAGCAAUGAGAGAAUUUGUGAUUGAAAGUGAAUGAGUGUGUGAAUUGAUGAGUUUUUUGUAUGUAUGAGCAAUGAGAGAAUGAGAAAGUUUAAGAAUAAUGUAGCAUUUGUGGUAAGAAAGUAAGAAUGAGUUAGAGAAUGUGAGUUCUUUUCAAAGAUGUCAAUGUGUAUGAAAGGAGGGGAGGGAGUCCUAUUUAUAUAGCAAAUAAGGGGGAGCACAAUAAUGGAAAUAAAAUAAAUCAAGGAGUUAAUUAUAAUACUAUUUCCUUAUUUUCAAGGAGAGCCAAAAUCAGAAAAUUAUAAGAAUAUUUCAUCACCAAAAAUAAAAUAAGUACAAAUAAUCUUUUACCUUGAAUAAGGAAGAGACAAAAUCAAAUUUUUUAUUAAAAAUCUAUUACCAAAUAUAAACAUAUAAGAGUAAAAUAUUUCCCUUAAAUAAAGAAGAGUCAAAUAUAAUUUUACCAAAAAUAAACAAGUAAGAAAUCAGUAAAUUUAUACAUAAGAAAAAAAAGAUCAAUUAACUUAUUAUUAUUAUUUUAUUUUUUAUUUUUUUAAAUUAUUAUUAUUACUUUACCAAAUAUAUGAGCAACUAAAUUUGACAAGGAAAUAGUUUAAGGUCAAACAUUUACCUAAUAAUAAAUUACCAUAAAUAAAUAUGUAAGAAUCAAUCUAGGCAAACAUUAAAGGAAAAAGAAAUCAACUAAUAUUUCUCAUUUUAAGAGAGCUAACUCAAUAACAAAUAUUUUCAGAAUGAGUAAAUAUUUUUCCAAAAAUAAACAAGUGAGAAACUUUUUCCUUAUUUUUUCAUCUUAUCACAUGAGCAAAGAUUUAUCCAUCAAGUUAAACAUGUUCUAACAUGUAGGAACAAUCAAUCAUAAUAAAAUAACGUACUUACGAUUAUUUUCAUUCAUGAAAUCAAAUAUACUCAAAAAAAAUAAUUUUAUAAUGAUAUUGACCCAUUAUUAAAUAAUCUAUUUUCAUAAGCAAGCUAAAUUCACCAAUUAACAUUUAAGGAGGGACAAUAUGCAAGAUUCUCAACCAACUUAAUGAAUUUGAGCACUAGAAAAUUAACACAAAUACAAAAAUCAAAUAAUUAUCAAUCCCAAGAGAUUAACUAUACGGAUCAAUGCAUAUUUUAAACACCAAAGUUAUAAUAAGCAUAUUACAAUAAAAGAAAAAUAUGAUGAAAACCCAAACGGAGAGAAUUGGAUAGACAAAGUAAUAAUGGAUAAAAGAAAUACCAAAGAUGGAUCUAAAUAGAUCCAUCCGAAUUUUGCCUUCGCCGGAGGUCGAUCCUGCUGAAAAUCAGAGAAGAGAGGGGGAGGGUCGAGGUCGCCUGGCUGCUCGCUGAGGCUGUCUUGUGGCUGCUGGAACGAUGGGAGAGAGGGGCACUGCCAGCGGCUGCUGGCUGGUGGUUCCGCGCUUGCUGCUGCUGGUCGGAAAGGCUGCCUGUCGUUGUUUGAUGCAGCUGCUGGUAGCUUGCGAAAAAAUAGAAGAGAAAGGAGAAGAGGAAGGGGCGAUAAGAGACGGGAGGGGAGAGAGGAGAAGAGGAAGGGGCGAUAAGAGACGGGAGGGGAGAGAGGAGAAGAGGAAAGAAAGGGGCGGCUGCUACCACUCGGAGGUGGCGAUUCCCACCGGAAAGAAUGGAAGGAGAGAGAGGCGGCUGGAGGUAUGGGUGAGGGAGGACAAAAAAGGAGAAGAAGAGGGAGGAGAGGAGAGGGAAGACGACAAGAGAGAGGGGCGUCACUGCCUCGCUUGGGGUUGACGAUUUCCACCGAAAAGAAUGGAGAGAGAGAGGUGGGGCUGCUGGAGAGAGUAGGAGAGGUUUUUUUUUUUUUUG
rnacentral:lncRNA from 1 species